rnacentral:rRNA from 1 species
GAUGAACGCUGGCGGCGUGCCUAAUACAUGCAAGUCGAGCGAACAGAUAAGGAGCUUGCUCCUUUGACGUUAGCGGCGGACGGGUGAGUAACACGUGGAUAACCUACCUAUAAGACUGGGAUAACUUCGGGAAACCGGAGCUAAUACCGGGUAACAUAUUGAACCGCAUGGUUCAAUAGUGAAAGGCGGCUUUGCUGUCACUUAUAGAUGGAUCCGCGCCGUAUUAGCUAGUUGGUAAGGUAACGGCUUACCAAGGCAACGAUACGUAGCCGACCUGAGAGGGUGAUCGGCCACACUGGAACUGAGACACGGUCCAGACUCCUACGGGAGGCAGCAGUAGGGAAUCUUCCGCAAUGGGCGAAAGCCUGACGGAGCAACGCCGCGUGAGUGAUGAAGGUCUUCGGAUCGUAAAACUCUGUUAUCAGGGAAGAACAAAUGUGUAAGUAACUGUGCACAUCUUGACGGUACCUGAUCAGAAAGCCACGGCUAACUACGUG